UAUAGCGGGCAAGGAGAAGAGAGUCAAUUCCUUUAGAGAGCCACAGGUCCACAGCUGAUGGCGUCGGUACCUCCCGCCAAGACACACGGCUGGCCUCACUGGAGUGCCGUUAUAUUUUCAGCCUGUAUAGAGGUGACAGUGCCGUGACAGAGAUGGUGGAGGUUAUUAAUGCACCAAGGAACAGGUGUGUAAGGUGUGGCAGUGGUGUUGAUAAGGGAUUAGUGUGUAAGAAGGGAAAGAAGUGUGGUGGGCCGAGUGCGUGUCAACAAAUUUAGUGGUGACAGUGGUGAUGGCCGUGUGGUGUUGCUUAUACACCCCAUAAACACACUCAAACACCCCGCAACACAUCCACAAUAUGCCCAUAUACACCCACACACACACAAGGUGAAGUGAUGACAUUCCCGACAGCACCAGCGGCGAGACAAGAGAGCAAUGCAAAUCUUCACCACAACGCCUCACCAUCAUUUAUUUCAGGCUCAGGCGUGUAGAUGGAAGCAGUAGAAGAAAGAAAGAAGGAGAAUGAAGAAGAAUGGAAAUGGAAGAAGAGGAGGAGCCAAGCCACAAUAUUUAGGUCCGCAGAAAACGACACGCCAAUUUAUUUGAAGUCCUUGACGGAGAUUAAAACGGCCUUGAAAAACACCACACCCGUUUUGUCCACCGCCAUCACCACCACCUCCCAGAUCAAGGACAAAGUGUAUUACUGUCUGACACAUAAGGAAGAGGAGCGAGCCAUGAGGGAGGCGGUGGAGGUGUGGGGGGGUUUCAGCACACUAUCAGUUCAUGCUUGGGAUGGGACACACUGGGACAGCCUGGGACCGUUGGUGGGAGCAAGACAAGGCUGUGGCAAUUCUGCGGAGGUUUGCCACUCAGACCUGUUGCCAUGUUACUAUUAUUGCACAUCUUAAGAAGCCUAUAGCCUCAGGGCAUAACGAGUCUUCACUCACGAGAGAGAGAGGGCGCGAGAUUCAGACGUGCGCAGGGAGACGAUAAGGGUGUGGUGUGAAUGAGCAAGUGAGAGAGCUGGCAUUGGGAGCCGAGCGGGAAAGGCAGCGCGGCAUGUGUAGGCUACGGGAGGCUAGCCAAGAUGUAUGAAGAUUGUACUGUACUUAUGCUAUGGAAUGGUUUUGUUACUGUAAAGCAUACUUAAGAAAUAUAAAAAUAUGGCUGAUU
rnacentral:misc_RNA from 1 species